UGGGGAAUAUUGGACAAUGGGCGCAAGCCUGAUCCAGCCAUGCCGCGUGAGUGAUGAAGGCCCUAGGGUUGUAAAGCUCUUUCACCGGUGAAGAUAAUGACGGUAACCGGAGAAGAAGCCCCGUCUAACUUCGUGCCAGCAGCCGCGGUAAUACGAAGGGGGCUAGCGUUGUUCGGAUUUACUGGGCGUAAAGCGCACGUAGGCGGACUAUUAAGUCAGGGGUGAAAUCCCGGGGCUCAACCCCGGAACUGCCUUUGAUACUGGUAGUCGUGAGUGCGAGAGAGGGGAGUGGAAUUCCGAGUGUAGAGGUGAAAUUCGUAGAUAUUCGGAGGAACACCAGUGGCGAAGGCGGCUCACUGGCUCGAUACUGACGCUGAGGUGCGAAAGCGUGGAGAGCAAACAGG
rnacentral:rRNA from 1 species